GAUGCUGCGCCGCUGGUCUCCUCUAUCCAAUGUGACCUAUCUCCACCUUCCUUCUCUUCCAGACUCCAUGGAAGUGAGAUUUAUAGCACAAAAUUCAACACCCCCAAUCUCAAAGCUUGUGAAAUUAAGCAAAUAAUAAUUGAAGGAAGGAAAAUGGUGCUUGACCGAAGGAAACAACAAAUGAAGGCUUUGGACGUUAUGAGAUCGAGUUUUAAACUUACCUGGUCAUAUGUGCAAGUGCUGAAGGGUCAAGGGUCAAGUCCCUAGUGUUCUAACUAAGUCUUCUAAAGGGUUAAUUUGUGGCAUGUCAGGAUUUUUUUUUUUUGUUAUCAAGUGAAUACUCUAAUAUUUCUUUUAACUAUCGUUUUUGCUUUA